rnacentral:rRNA from 1 species
UACGUAGGGUGCGAGCGUUAAUCGGAAUUACUGGGCGUAAAGCGUGCGCAGGCGGUAAUGUAAGACAGAUGUGAAAUCCCCGGGCUCAACCUGGGACCUGCAUUUGUGACUGCAUUGCUGGAGUGCGGCAGAGGGGGAUGGAAUUCCGCGUGUAGCAGUGAAAUGCGUAGAUAUGCGGAGGAACACCGAUGGCGAAGGCAAUCCCCUGGGCCUGCACUGACGCUCAUGCACGAAAGCGUGGGGAGCAAACAGG